rnacentral:rRNA from 1 species
UACGUAGGGUGCAAGCGUUAAUCGGAAUUACUGGGCGUAAAGCGUGCGCAGGCGGUGAUGUAAGACAGUUGUGAAAUCCCCGGGCUCAACCUGGGAACUGCAUCUGUGACUGCAUUGCUGGAGUGCGGCAGAGGGGGAUGGAAUUCCGCGUGUAGCAGUGAAAUGCGUAGAUAUGCGGAGGAACACCGAUGGCGAAGGCAAUCCCCUGGGCCUGCACUGACGCUCAUGCACGAAAGCGUGGGGAGCAAACCAGG